CUCCCAUGAUGAACAUAAAACGACAAGCAUAUGACUGAACUCAGGUGAUGUCAUCUCAACACUGAGAAG
rnacentral:snoRNA from 1 species